rnacentral:lncRNA from 1 species
GGGAGGGUUCUGGUACAAACUUACAAACUUACAAACUUUUUUUGUUCAACGCAUAUAUAACUUGAGUUCAACAUUUUUUCAACAUUUUUUGUUGAACAUUGACUAAAAUAGUGGUGGAGAAGUACAUAAACCAAUUUUUAAAUGUAAGAACUAAGGUAAACAUGUUAUAUAACUAAUAUUUAUGUUUUUAGACCCUACCCAAACCCUAGAGGUAUAGUUUAAACAUAUUUUUAGAUAUAUUCAACACAAUGAUAAU